CAGCCUUGUGGGAAACGAGCCAACGGUUUGUAUUUUGUUUGUAGUUUCGUGCAGUUACAGUGCCGGAGAACUGGGUUACUGAUUAAUUUCGUAAGUUUUAGCAGUUGCAGUGUGUUAAAAAGUGAAUAACAUUGAAAAAAAUGGCAAGUAACUUUUACAUAUCGAAUGUCAACAUGCACAUAAAUGGACACACGAUAGCGAAGACAAUCCUAGUGAAAUGGACGCUGUAUCAUGAAGGAAUUCAAAAGUUCGUCACUUGCUGUAUAGCGUUGUUCUUUCUUACAGUCUGUUAACAGAGCGCAACGUUUACAAACCUGACUCGCCAAAUAAAUGUGAUUUUCAGCGAGUGUGAGUUACGCAGUGCAGGCUGAUACCAAGUUUGGACAUCAUAUGAGUUGAGACUUGAGAAUCAUAUUCAUCCUGUUAUGCAAACAAGGUUUGUCUCAAUAGUUGGUACGAAAAACCUCAGUUCUCUUCUUAAAAUAUGCAACAAAAAAUAUUAGAUCCAGACUUUGGAAGAAAGUGGAAUGGGAAGAAGGGAAGUGGGAAUUUCAUCCUAAUUUU